CGGGAGGCUGCACCAGUGAGGAAUAUUGCACAAUGGGGGGAACCCUGAUGCAGCAACGCCGCGUGGAGGAUGACGCAUUUCGGUGUGUAAACUCCUUUUAUAUGUCAAGAAAAUGACGGUAGCAUAUGAAUAAGCACCGGCUAACUCCGUGCCAGCAGCCGCGGUAAUACGGAGGGUGCAAGCGUUACUCGGAAUCACUGGGCGUAAAGGACGCGUAGGCGGGUUGGAAAGUCAGGUGUGAAAUCCUACAGCUUAACUGUAGAACUGCACUUGAAACUUCUAAUCUAGAGUAUGGGAGGGGGAGAUGGAAUUAGUGGUGUAGGGGUAAAAUCCGUAGAUAUCACUAGGAAUACCUAAAGCGAAGGCGAUCUCCUGGAACAUUACUGACGCUAAGGCGUGAAAGCAUGGGGAGCAAACAGGAUUAGAUACCCGCGUAGUC
rnacentral:rRNA from 1 species